UUCUUGGAGAGUUUGAUCCUGGCUCAGGACGAACGCUGGCGGCGUGCCUAAUACAUGCAAGUCGAGCGGACUUGAGGGAGCUUGCUCCCGAUAGUCAGCGGCGGACGGGUGAGUAACACGUGGGCAACCUGCCUGUAAGACUGGGAUAACUUCGGGAAACCGGAGCUAAUACCGGAUAAUCCUUUCCCUCUCAUGAGGGAAAGCUGAAAGACGGUUUCGGCUGUCACUUACAGAUGGGCCCGCGGCGCAUUAGCUAGUUGGUGAGGUAACGGCUCACCAAGGCGACGAUGCGUAGCCGACCUGAGAGGGUGAUCGGCCACACUGGGACUGAGACACGGCCCAGACUCCUACGGGAGGCAGCAGUAGGGAAUCUUCCGCAAUGGACGAAAGUCUGACGGAGCAACGCCGCGUGAGCGAAGAAGGCCUUCGGGUCGUAAAGCUCUGUUGUUAGGGAAGAACAAGUACCGGAGUAACUGCCGGUACCUUGACGGUACCUAACCAGAAAGCCACGGCUAACUACGUGCCAGCAGCCGCGGUAAUACGUAGGUGGCAAGCGUU
rnacentral:rRNA from 1 species